rnacentral:rRNA from 1 species
UACGUAGGGGACAAGCGUUGUCCGGAUUUAUUGGGUUUAAAGGGUGCGCAGGUGGCUUUGUAAGUCAGUGGUGAAAGUCUGCCGCUUAACGGUAGGAUUGCCAUUGAUACUGCGGAGCUUGAGUUUGGAUGAGGUAGGCGGAAUGAGUAGUGUAGCGGUGAAAUGCAUAGAUAUUGAGGAACGCCAGUGGCGAAGGCGGCUAACUGGACCGGAACUGACGCUGAGGCAAAAAAGCGUGGGGAGCAAACAG